AAACAUUUUCCUGCACACUAGCUUGCUACUUUGUGUAGGUCUACACACGUUACCGUCCUCCCCUGAUGACCAUUCAUAAUUUAACUCAAAUGUUAGUGGAAAUAUGUUCAUCUUUGCGGUGCGAAGUUUGUUAACUAUCUAAGAUAGAUAACAAUCGUUAAUGUAAUUAACGGUUACUAGAACACCUGUAAAGCGGAGUGAUACAUGUAUAGUUAAAAGUCCGUGCUGUUACACUCUACUCCAAUCAAAUUACUUGGUCGUAUUAUAAAUACCUGUGAACAUAAUUUGUUUUUUUAUACUCUUUUCAUCGAAAGCAGUGGGACCGUUUUACAUGCGUUUGCUUUUAGUAACGUUCAAGAUGCUUUGGCGUUGCGUGAUCUUCUGCGUUUUUAUUACUUUUUCAUUGAAACUGUUGUUGAGCCAUAUCAAUAGRUUGCACAGUCGCAGCCCUGAUUUCUGGUUGCUCUGUGGUAUUGACGGAUGCACUGAGRAAUAUAGAGUGUACAAUUCCUUCUAUCAUCAUGUAAAGAGAAGACACCUUCAACACCUACUUGAAGGCACCCGACCAGGUGAACAGCCAUCGGAGGAAAGCCAAGUACCACCGGAACAAGUAAGUAGCUAGCUAGGAUUUGUUCUUUCUUCUGGAUUAAAAAAAAAUCAUUUUAAUGAACUAUUCGAUUAUUUUAGCUAUAAUGGCUAAAGCUGGGUUAAUGUGAAAAUAAUCAAUGAUAAAUGGGAACAAAACACUUAAAGCUCUAUUGGUGAAACUAAAAUACAAUUUCAAAUAAUAAUCUGUUUCUUUGAUAUGCGGUACACAGGACAACAUUCAACCCGAUCAGCUUCUAGCUAACUCCAGCAUCACUGAUCAGCAACUCAAUACACCUGACUUGGAUGAAGGGCAAAGGGGCAUUGACCAACAUGGCGCUGUCACAGUGCAACAAGAUCUGACAACACAUGCCAAUGCUUUUGUGAUGUGCCAGAGCCAAGCAUCGUCUCACAGAAAGGCGUGAAUGACAUUGUUGCUGGGGUACAGCAGUAUCMAUGAUCACUAUUGGACAACCUCAGGAAGCAGAUGGAGGGAGUGCUAAAGAAGCAUUCAGGAAGCACAUUAGGUCAGCUUGAAAAAGAUGCAAUGGAUAUAUUUGACARUUUCAUUGACCCCUUUGCUGACGUUGCAGCAACAUUUAGACAGGACAGUGUUUUUAAGAAGCAGUUCAGCUGUUUGGACGCAGARGAAAUUCCAAUUGCUCGAACCAGAUGCAGGAUGAAAUGUAGAGGCUCAAAAUACUUUUUCAUCAAAGACAAAUUAUUUCAUUAUGUACCRUUAGUCAAAAGUCUAGAACAGUUCUUAUCACACCCAAGGAUUGUGUCUAUGGUUGAAAAGGGACCCCAGAUGUGCAGGGAAAGUUUUKUUCAUGACAUU